UGGCGGGAGGGUGAGUAAUGUCUGGGAAACUGCCCGAUGGAGGGGGAUAACUACUGGAAACGGUAGCUAAUACCGCAUAACGUCGCAAGACCAAAGAGGGGGACCUUCGGGCCUCUUGCCAUCGGAUGUGCCCAGAUGGGAUUAGCUAGUAGGUGGGGUAAAGGCUCACCUAGGCGACGAUCCCUAGCUGGUCUGAGAGGAUGACCAGCCACACUGGAACUGAGACACGGUCCAG
rnacentral:rRNA from 1 species